rnacentral:rRNA from 1 species
AGUGAACGCUGGCGGUAGGCCUAACACAUGCAAGUCGAACGGCAGCACAGUAAGAGCUUGCUCUUACGGGUGGCGAGUGGCGGACGGGUGAGGAAUACAUCGGAAUCUACUUUUUCGUGGGGGAUAACGUAGGGAAACUUACGCUAAUACCGCAUAUGACCUACGGGUGAAAGCAGGGGAUCUUCGCACCUUGCGCGAUUGAAUGAGCCGAUGUCGGAUUAGCUAGUUGGCGUGGUAAAGGCCCACCAAGGCGACGAUCCGUAGCUGGUCUGAGAGGAUGAUCAGCCACACUGGAACUGAGACACGGUCCAGACUCCUACGGGAGGCAGCAGUGGGGAAUAUUGGGCAAUGGGCGCAAGCCUGAUCCAGCCAUACCGCGUGGGUGAAGAAGGCCUUCGGGUUGUAAAGCCCUUUUGUUGGGAAAGAAAAGCAGCAGGUUAAUACCCCGCUGUUCUGACGGUACCCAAAGAAUAAGCACCGGCUAACUUCGUG